UUCAAUUUAGGACUGUUGAGAAUGAAAAGGGGUCAGAAUUGACUAGAAUGUCUAGUUGUCUUGGUGAUUUGGCAUGUGAGCUAGCUCGGGUGGCUUGGAAUUGUUUUGAAGUUUUUGUGAUUUGUUUUGGACCUUCAAUUGGAAUGCCAAUGGAGCUCCUUGGAGUGAAAUAACCUUGUGACUUUGGACAUUUUGCAAUGUUUAUGUUGG
rnacentral:lncRNA from 1 species